rnacentral:tRNA from 1 species
ACUCUUAUGGCAUAGUAGUUAAGAGUUUGGCUGCUAACCAAAAAGGUCGGUAGUUUGAAUCCACCAGGAGUU